rnacentral:rRNA from 1 species
CCCUUAGAUGUUCUGGGCAGCACGCGCGCUACAAUGGUCUUCGCAAACGGAUGCAUUCUCGAAGGAGAAUGCCAAUCUUGGAAUCUAUGCCUUGGUCGGGACAGUUGCUUGCAAUUUUUCGACUCGAGCCAGGAAUUCCUUGUAAUCGUGAUUCAUCACAUCACGAUGAAUACGUCCCUGCCCUUUGUACACACCGCCCGUCGCUCCUACCGAUCGAAGAGUUAGGUGAAUUGUUUUGAUCGAUAAGGUUUGACUAUGGUCAACUCUCGUUGUGAAAUUCUGUGAAUCUGACUGUUUAGAGGAAGGAAAAGUCGUAACA